GCAUGAGACCAUUGCACUCCGCUACCUGCAUAAGGAGGAGAGAGAAUCAAAGACAAGCGUCGUGAUGAUCUCAUCGCAGCGAGCUUAGCAUAAAGUUUUGUCCCAAAUCUAAGCGCAGCAGCCCGUUCGUUGCGUCGCGGACCUAAAAAUACUUAAAAAUCGGAAAUAACUCGCAAUAUAUUACUAAAAACCCGCAGAAGUCGCGUGCAAGAUGUAUUGCUAAUUGCAAAGUACAAAAAAAAGCCCCAAAAAGCCUGAAAAUUAUAAAUUUUUUUAUUGUGAAAAGCCUGAAAAGUGUGUGCGGAGAGCCAAAGGUCUAGCUAAAAGUUAAGUAAUGAUCGCAGCAUUAGUGAAAAUGAUAAAAUUCAGUGUUCUAGUAGCAGUGAAAAAUGAAAAAUUCCAGCGCUCAUUUGGAGUGAGCAUGGAAACGCAAGAAGAAAUAACGGAAUCAUUUAAAGCUGUUGUCGUACAGGAUGGUCAUCGGACGGCAAGGAGUGCAAGGAGGAUUGCAAAAAGUGAGUGAAAGUGAAAAGUGAAAGCGCUUGUGAAAACAAAACAGUUAAAUGCACCGCAAGGACUAAAUAAAGGAGCGGAAUAAGAAAUACAGCGCAAGUGAUAGUGAAAAGUGAAAAAAAAACCUGCCUGCCAAAAUUCUAUUGCGUCGCCGCAGCUGUCGCGCUGCUUCCACAGUGGAAACCCAGAAAGAAAGGAAUAGCGAAAUCAUAUUAUACUGUUGUCGUACAGGUGUGCAAGGAGGAAAGGAUUCCAAAAGCUGUUGUCGUACAGGAUGGUCAUCGGACGGCAAGGAGGGAAAGGAUUUAAAAUGCUGUUGUCGUACAGGAUGGUCAUCGGACGGCAAGGAGGGAAAGAAUUUUACAUGCUGUUGUCGUACAGGAUGGUCAUCGGACGGCAAGGAGGGAAAGAAGGAUCGCAAAAAGUGAAAGUGAAAAGUGAAAGCGCAAGUGAAUGAAAACAGUUGAAUGUACCGCAAGGACUAAAGAAAGGAGCGGAAUAAGAAAUUGAGCGCUAGUGAGUGAAAAAAGUGAGUGAAAAGUGAAAAAUGAAAGCGCAUGUGAAGAAAAACAGUUGAAUGUACCGCAAGGACUAAAGAAAGGAGCGGCCUAAGACAUUGAGCGCUAGUGAGUGAUAAAAGUGAGUGAAAUGCUGCGAUCAAGUGAGUGCAAGUGCAGGAGGGAAUGAAUUGAGGCAAUAUGGGCAAAAGUGAGUGUUAGAGCGCGAGUGAAAAACGAAAUAAAAUAUAAACAGCAACUACAGACAGCGGAAAGAGAACGGGAACUUCACUGAGAGAGGUUUAAGGACGGAGGUGCAUAGCACUGCUUGUUUUUUCAAUUGAGCAUUAGUAAAAUGCAAGGCCCUCAGAGCGGAGGAUCAUAGCUCUUUUUUGAUUUCGUCAGAAGACAGAAAGCAAAAGACAUUUCACUCUGUGCAUUAGUAAAAUUCAAGUUUUCUCUUCACGUCUGUUUUGGAUGCCGCUUCUGUUUCCCACUCAAAUGGAAAACUGUGCAAUAGUAUACGAAAACACAGAAAAGCGUGUGCCAUUAUAAAAAACUUCAAAAACCGAAAGCCAGGCGGACCAAGGUGGAAUAAUGCAGCAGGAAGGGAGUGGCCUCCAUGUUGCAUUUGCAGCUGUUGUCACAGCAAGGCAUUAAUUAUGCCAUCAACAAAGGGACUACGACAGCGCAGAAGACAUAUCCUGUUGACAGUCUCACACACCUUCUUAAAUGUGGCACUGCCACCGGGCUAUGCCCUCCUGCCCUGUUCCAUGGUCUUGCACUGAGCAAAGUGCACUAAGCAAAGUUUUUCGCGUGGCAAUGGAAGUCACGUGGGCCUGCAAGUUG